rnacentral:rRNA from 1 species
UACGUAGGUGGCGAGCGUUGCCCGGAAUUACUGGGUGUAAAGGGAGCGUAGGCGGGUCGGCAAGUCAGUGGUGAAAUACAUGGGCUUAACCCAUGAAUUGCCAUUGAAACUGCCGGUCUUGAGUGGAUCAGAGGCAAGCGGAAUUCCGAGUGUAGCGGUGAAAUGCGUAGAUAUUCGGAGGAACACCAGUGGCGAAGGCGGCUUGCUGGGGUCUAACUGACGCUGAGGCUCGAAAGCGUGGGGAGCAAACAGGAUUAGAUACCCUGGUA